CAGUCGCCACGGGAAUACGUAGGUGGCAAGCGUUGUCCGGAAUUAUUGGGCGUAAAGGGCUCGCAGGCGGUUUCUUAAGUCUGAUGUGAAAGCCCCCGGCUCAACCGGGGAGGGUCAUUGGAAACUAGGAAACUUGAGUGCAGAAGAGGAGAGUGGAAUUCCACGUGUAGCGGUGAAAUGCGUAGAGAUGUGGAGGAACACCAGUGGCGAAGGCGACUCUCUGGUCUGUAACUGACGCUGAGGAGCGAAAGCGUGGGGAGCGAACAGGAUUAGAUACCCCUGUAGUCCCUGUCUCUUAUAC
rnacentral:rRNA from 1 species